AUGAGGCCUAGUUUCAGGGUCACGUCCGCCAUGAGGAGAGGGAGACGCUGCUGCAGCUCCAGGACACCUGGGGCCACCAAGGCAAAAGUCAAGAAAAGGCUUCCUGCCCCACUCUUUCCCGGCUUCUGUCCACAGCUGUGCUCCAGGUGGGGAACACCUGUGGGUGCACCAGUGUGCAAAUACUCAGACUCCAGCAUGCAGAAGAGCCCCAGCUCCAUGCUGUUUCCAUAUCCAAGCCCAAGUUUGUCUAGAGCUUCAGCAAAUCCAAGCCUCCCUGAAUUUCCUGCAAGACCAGACUGAGCCCUACAACCCCCACUACACUGGUUAGCUGCCAGUCCCAGCCCCUGCUCCCUCCUGGGCCCCUGUCUGUACAGUUCUGAAGUCCUACAAGAAUGUUGAGAACCUAAGCUGACUCUCACCCAAAAAGGUAAACAACCAGGGGCCUCCAGGGGUAGAGAACAUACCCAGACAGGUUCUGCUGCCUGUAGGCUUGAUGUCCUUCCCCUACAACACACCAUGCUUGCCGGGCUGGAAGAGGGGCUCCAGAAACUUGGGAAACCUGGGCCUGUAGCUGGCAUGUGGAAAAGAGGCCUGGAAAAGCACACUCCUGUCCAUGAAGCCCCCAGAUGGAACCAGGUAAUUGGAAAACACAUGGGCACUAAGCCUGACCCUCACUCAGACCCAGGUGGGAACUGCAGCAGUGACUUGCCCCCUCUGCCAUGCAGCAGUG
rnacentral:lncRNA from 1 species